AGUUUGAUCAUGGCUCAAGACGAACGCUGGCGGCGUGCUUAACACAUGCAAGUCGAACGGAAAGGCCCCACUUUUUUGGUGGGGGGUGCUCGAGUGGCGAACGGGUGAGUAACACGUGGGUGAUCUGCCCUGCACUUCGGGAUAAGCUUGGGAAACUGGGUCUAAUACCGGAUAGGACCAUGGUUUAGUGUCUCAUGGUGGAAAAAUUAUUGUUUUGGUGCAGGAUGAGCUCGCGGCCUAUCAGCUUGUUGGUGGGGUAAUGGCCUACCAAGGCGUCGACGGGUAGCCGGCCUGAGAGGGUGGACGGCCACAUUGGGACUGAGAUACGGCCCAGACUCCUACGGGAGGCAGCAGUGGGGAAUAUUGCACAAUGGGCGCAAGCCUGAUGCAGCGACGCCGCGUGGGGGAUGACGGCCUUCGGGUUGUAAACUCCUUUCGUUAGGGACGAAGCCGCACCUGUUUUGGGUGUGGUGACGGUACCUUUGUUAAGAAGCACCGGCUAACUACGUGCCAGCAGCCGCGGUAAUACGUAGGGUGCGAGCGUUGUCCGGAAUUACUGGGCGUAAAGAGCUCGUAGGUGGUUUGUUGCGUCGUCUGUGAAAUUCCGGGGCUUAACUUCGGGGUGGCAGGCGAUACGGGCAUAACUAGAGUGCUGUAGGGGAGACUGGAAUUCCUGGUGUAGCGGUGGAAUGCGCAGAUAUCAGGAGGAACACCGAUGGCGAAGGCAGGUCUCUGGGCAGUAACUGACGCUGAGGAGCGAAAGCAUGGGGAGCGAACAGGAUUAGAUACCCUGGUAGUCCAUGCUGUAAACGGUGGGCGUUAGGUGUGGGGACCGGUUUGGUUUCUGUGCCGUAGCUAACGCAUUAAGCGCCCCGCCUGGGGAGUACGGCCGCAAGGCUAAGACUCAAAGGAAUUGACGGGGGCCCGCACAAGCGGCGGAGCAUGUGGAUUAAUUCGAUGCAACGCGAAGAACCUUACCUGGGUUUGACAUGCACCAGACGGUUGUAGAGAUACGUACCUCCCUUUGUGGUUGGUGUGCAGGUGGUGCAUGGUUGUCGUCAGCUCGUGUCGUGAGAUGUUGGGUUAAGUCCCGCAACGAGCGCAACCCUUGUCUUAUGUUGCCAGCACUUUGGGUGGGGACUCAUGAGAGACUGCCGGGGUUAACUCGGAGGAAGGUGGGGAUGACGUCAAAUCAUCAUGCCCUUUAUGCCCAGGGCUUCACACAUGCUACAAUGGUUAGUACAACGCGCUGCAAGCCUGUGAGGGUGAGCGAAUCGCUGAAAGCUAAUCUCAGUUCGGAUUGGGGUCUGCAACUCGACCCCAUGAAGUCGGAGUCGCUAGUAAUCGCAGAUCAGCAAUGCUGCGGUGAAUACGUUCCCGGGCCUUGUACACACCGCCCGUC
rnacentral:rRNA from 1 species